rnacentral:lncRNA from 1 species
CAUAUAUAAGUGACACUUAGGAUUACAUUCUCCAGAGCCGUCUCCCUCCCUAUCAAUCCCUCUCCCAUUUCCCUCCUCUCUCCCCACCUACCCCUCUCCCUCAGUCCUCAUCCCCUUCUCUUAGAUCCACCGGCCUCUCUCUCUGGUCCGUUCUCACUCUCUCUCCCCCCUGGUACUCCUCAUGAUGUGUGGGGAAGGGGGCCACGCUUGCGGCGAUGGUGGGCCAUGCCCUUGUAGCAGGGUCUGUGCUUAUGAUGGCAGUAGGCCGCGCCUCGGCUUAGGGUGUCGCGGUGGCUCAGGAUCUCGACCUCCAGCGGUGGUGGAUUGGGGUCCAGUGGGAUCUCCACCUCUAGCAGCGGUGGCUUGGGGGCUCAACGCCUCCACUAGGAUCUCCAUUGCAGCGGCAGCGGCUCAGGGUCUAGCGAUGGUGGCGGGCUGCUCCCUUCUCAAGCUACAUCGGUGGCUCUAGAUCUCCUUCUCGGACCCAUCCCGGAUCCAGCGAGUGGAGCGGUGGAUCUAGUGAGUGGAGCUGCAGAUCUAGCUAGCAGCAACCUCUGCCUGUGGAUGGGCACGGCAGCCUAUGCACAGUUUUUUUUUUGUUUUUUGUAUUGAUUAACCAAGGCGGGCAAAGCACCCGCCACCAUGGUCUGUGCAUUAACAGGGACCUUUGAUUGGAGGCGGUUGCUUUGUCCGCCUCCAAAAAAUCCAAAACGUCUGCCUCUAAAAAGUUUUUUGUAGUAGUGUAUUUCAAUUGUUUAUUGUAGAUCAUACAUUGUAUACAUUUUCAUUGGAACUUAUUUUAUUUAAUUGUGUCUAAUUUACUAUGAUGGGUUAUUGUGUUUAUCAUAGUGUAUCAACAUUGUUUAAAAUUACAUCUUGAUUGCUUCUUGAGUGAAACACCUUAAUUAUAUAAUUUUUUUUGAAAGAUUUUAGCAAAUUUUUUAAAUUUUUUCCAUACAUUCCUCGCAUGCUUCUGUUCUAUUGAAGCUAUACCCUAUUGUUGCCAAACAUAGAAAUGGCCUUGUUACCAAUCCCUAGCACUUUGGAGGUAUGGUGGCCAUUAGAUCAAACCGAUAAUUUAAUUUGGUCUUUAGAACAAUUCAGUUGUUGGAUUCCAUGUGUAUAAGAUUUUGCAGAAUGUUGUACAUAUCAAAAUAAUGGGACAUUGUGUUGACCCUCUCUCUCUAUCCCCUCCUCUCCCUAUACUUGUUAUGUGCUAGAUGAUGAUAUGCUGCACCAAAAUACAAUUCAGCAAAUUGUAGUUUAAUUAGAGUUCUAAACCGCUGCUUGUAUGAUGGCUGACUCUCUUAGUAAGUCAUUUAGUUGUUCGAUUGUUCAUAUAUAAGAUUUUGCAGCCCCUUGUAUACGGACAAAAAUGGGGGCAUUUCCUUGAGACUCUCCCUCUCUCUCUGCUUCCCUAUACUUCGAGCUCCAAUAAAACAUAAAACUAGAUAGACACAUGAGUAUAAGGAUGAGCAAUCUCUUGGUGUGUAUUUUUGCUGAUGAUCAUAUUGCUUGCCAUACACUUUGUAAUUUUUUGGCCAAUAUUAGUCAGUUAGUUCUCUCAUUUAUGGCAUUGCUCUGCAAUUUAUUUUGUGG